UACGUAGGGUGCAAGCGUUGUCCGGAAUUAUUGGGCGUAAAGAGCUCGUAGGCGGUCUGUCGCGUCUGCUGUGAAAACUCGGGGCUUAACCCCGGGCCUGCAGUGGAUACUGGCAAGCUAGAGUGCGGUAGAGGAUGGUGGAAUUCCCGGUGUAGCGGUGAAAUGCGUAGAGAUCGGGAGGAACACCCGUGGCGAAGGCGGCCAUCUGGACCAGCACUGACGCUGAGGCACGAAAGCGUGGGGAGCAAACAGG
rnacentral:rRNA from 1 species